CAGCAGUAGCCGCGGGAAAACGAGGGGUGCAAGCGUUAUUCGGAUUGAUUGGGUGUAAAGGGUGUGCAGACGGCUUAUUAAGUCACUUGUUAAAUUCUUCGGCCUAACUGAAGGUCUGCAAGUGAUACUGAUGAGCUAGAGGGUGGAAGAGAGAAGUGGAAUUCUCGGAGUAGCGGUGAAAUGCGUAGAGAUGUGGAGGAACACCAGUGGCGAAGGCGACUCUCUGGUCUGUAACUGACGCUGAGGAGCGAAAGCGUGGGGAGCGAACAGGAUUAGAUACCCCAGUAGUCCCUGUCUCUUAUAC
rnacentral:rRNA from 1 species